UGAACGCUGGCGGCAGGCCUAACACAUGCAAGUCGAGCGGUAACAGGAAGCAGCUUGCUGCUUUGCUGACGAGUGGCGGACGGGUGAGUAAUGUCUGGGAAACUGCCCGAUGGAGGGGGAUAACUACUGGAAACGGUAGCUAAUACCGCAUAACGUCGCAAGACCAAAGAGGGGGACCUUAGGGCCUCUUGCCAUCGGAUGUGCCCAGAUGGGAUUAGCUAGUAGGUGGGGUAACGGCUCACCUAGGCGACGAUCCCUAGCUGGUCUGAGAGGAUGACCAGCCACACUGGAACUGAGACACGGUCCAGACUCCUACGGGAGGCAGCAGUGGGGAAUAUUGCACAAUGGGCGCAAGCCUGAUGCAGCCAUGCCGCGUGUAUGAAGAAGGCCUUCGGGUUGUAAAGUACUUUCAGCGGGGAGGAAGGGAGUAAAGUUAAUACCUUUGCUCAUUGACGUUACCCGCAGAAGAAGCACCGGCUAACUCCGUG
rnacentral:rRNA from 1 species